rnacentral:rRNA from 1 species
GACGAACGCUGGCGGCGUGCUUAACACAUGCAAGUCGAACGGAAAGGCCCUGCUUUCGUGGGGUGCUCGAGUGGCGAACGGGUGCGUAACACGUGAGUAACCUGCCCUUGACUUUGGGAUAACUUCAGGAAACUGGGGUUAAUACCGGAUAGGAGCUCCCGCUGCAUGGUGGGGGUUGGAAAGUUUCGGCGGUUGGGGAUGGACUCGCGGCUUAUCAGCUUGUUGGUGGGGUAGUGGCUUACCAAGGCUUUGACUGGUAGCCGGCCUGUGAGGGUGACCGGCGACAUUGGGACUGAGGUACGGCCCAGACUCCUACGGGAGGCAGCAGUGGGGAAUAUUGCACAAUGGGCGGAAGCCUGAUGCAGCGGCGCCGCGUGCGGGAUGACGGCCUUCGGGUUGUAAACCGCUUUCGCCUGUGACGAAGCGUGAGUGACGGUAAUGGGUAAAGAAGCACCGGCUAACUACGUG